rnacentral:rRNA from 1 species
UAGGGAAUCUUCGGCAAUGGGGGCAACCCUGACCGAGCAACGCCGCGUGAGUGAAGAAGGUUUUCGGAUCGUAAAGCUCUGUUGUAAGAGAAGAACGUGUGUGAGAGUGGAAAGUUCACACAGUGACGGUAACUUACCAGAAAGGGACGGCUAACUACGUGCCAGCAGCCGCGGUAAUACGUAGGUCCCGAGCGUUGUCCGGAUUUAUUGGGCGUAAAGCGAGCGCAGGGGGUUUAAUAAGUCUGAAGUUAAAGGCAGUGGCUUAACCAUUGUUCGCUUUGGAAACUGUUAAACUUGAGUGCAGAAGGGGAGAGUGGAAUUCCAUGUGUAGCGGUGAAAUGCGUAGAUAUAUGGAGGAACACCGGUGGCGAAAGCGGCUCUCUGGUCUGUAACUGACGCUGAGGCUCGAAAGCGUGGGGAGCAAACAGG